UGAAAAACAGGGAUUUCUAUGAAAAUAAGCGAUAUUUAAGGUGAAAAACAGGGAUUUCUAUGAAAAUAAGCGAUAUUUAAGUUGAAAAACAGGGAUUUCUAUGAAAAUAAGCGAUAUUUAAGGUGA